GCAUCCGUAGCUCAGCUGGAUAGAGUACUCGGCUACGAACCGAGCUGUCGGAGGUUCGAAUCCUCCCGGAUGCACCA
rnacentral:tRNA from 2 species